rnacentral:rRNA from 1 species
UACGAAGGGGGCUAGCGUUGCUCGGAAUUACUGGGCGUAAAGGGCGCGUAGGCGGCACUGUUAGUCAGGCGUGAAAUUCCUGGGCUCAACCUGGGGACUGCGCUUGAUACGGCAGAGCUAGAGGAUGGAAGAGGCUCGCGGAAUUCCCAGUGUAGAGGUGAAAUUCGUAGAUAGUUGGGAAGAACACCGGUGGCGAAGGCGGCGAGCUGGUCCAUUACUGACGCUGAGGCGCGACAGCGGUGGGGGAGCAAACAGG